CCUAAAAAAGAAAUUAGCACAAUAGGAACAAAAAGCAGUAGCAGCUAAGCUCAGCUUCACCCUUGUAGCGCCGCCACUGUUGACUGUUCCACCAUUGGAAAGAACCCAUAAAACACCACCUUCUCACCUCUGUCGUAUCUCCUCAACAACCACAGUCCAAUUCCAAAUCCCCAACCAUGGCGAUGAGCAAUGCUGAAAAACUACCCCAAGAAAUCAUAUUUGACAUACUUACCCGGCUGCCGGCUAAGUGUAUCAGCCAAUUCAGGUGCGUAUCAAAGCAGUGGUGCUCUCUUCUCUCAGACCCACAUUUCGUCAAAGCUCACCUCAAUUUUCAUUCUCACAAACAUGCUGAAGAAGAAAAACUCAUUUUGUAUCCCUACUUCUCUGGCUCUCCACGUUAUCACUUUUAACCACGACCCCCAAAAUGGAAUCGAUGCCAUUUCAAGAAAACUUAAUUUUGAGGGGCUCUCAGACAACUGGGAAAGAGUUGCUGGCUCAUGUAAUGGCCUGGUCUUGGUACUGAAUGAGGAAGAUAUUUUAUUUAUAAUCAAUCCCACAACCUUAGAGUACCGUAGAAUUCCAAACUCUCCUCUGGCUCUUCCUAAGUCUGGUACCUCUAGCACGUAUGGUCUAGGCUAUGAUUCUGCUAGUGAUGAUUAUAAGGUGGUUACUCUUUCUUAUUAUAAGGAAGAUAUUUCCUGUACUUUGAUGUUUACUCUGUGAGAAUGGGUUUAUGGAGGCGACUUGAGAGCUUAUGUAAUGGUGGUGCAAUUCCUAUUCACGGUUUUCCGGUUUUGGUAAAUGGGGCUUUCCAUUGGUUGGCUGGCAAAGGUUUUGCAUCUGCAAUUGUUGCUUUUGAUUUAAGUGAUGAGAAAUUCUUCGAGGUGCCAGUACCUACUACUACUGAUGGCAAAUGUCCUUUGUUUUACGAUUUGGUGGGUCUUGGAGGGUGUCUUUGAAUCUUGGCCAAAAAUUAUAAAAUUGAUGCUUGGAUUAUGAAAGAAUAUGGGGUUGCGGAGUCUUGGACCAAAUUCAGCGUUACAAGCCAAGGUUCAGGUUUCACCCCUUUGUGUUUGAUGAAUGAUGAUGAUAUUGUAUUGGAUGUGGCUGCAGAAGAGAAGUUGAUUGUCUACAAUAAGAAAGAGGAACAGUGGAGAGAUUUGAAUGUUGAUGGAAUAAUAGCUAAGUUUCAAAGGACUAGAACAUUCAUAGAGAGUCUUGUCUCUCCUAUGUUUGGCCUUGAUGCAAUAUUUUGAGAUGAUGAUCUACUCAGGGAUAUGUCUGCUUCUAUGGAAUUGAUUGUUAGAGAACUGUGGACAGAGUCACUGAGGCCUGGAUCUUAACAAUAUAUUUUAUUUCCAAGAGUAUUACUCUUUAAUUAUGAUGUUAUAAAAUGGAUACUCUUUCAAGAAAGAUCACUAUCAUAGAAGGAGAAUUUUUGAAGUAGACUUGCAUUUGUGGUUUGUAUACUAUGUUGUAUACAAAGGACAGCACUAUAGCACCGUUGGGAGAAACUGGUUCCGAUAGUUGAUUGUUCACAUCUCAAUUGAGUUGAUCCUUUGAAUUGCUGUAAACAAAUUUUUAGCUUUGCAAUGUUUUAGCAUGUCGGAGACAA